CCUACGGGAGGCAGCAGUGAGGAAUAUUGGUCAAUGGGCGUAGGCCUGAACCAGCCAAGUAGCGUGCGGGAUGACGGCCCUAUGGGUUGUAAACCGCUUUUGUUGGGGAGCAAUAAGGUCCACGAGUGGAUCGAUGAGAGUACCCAGCGAAUAAGCAUCGGCUAACUCCGUGCCAGCAGCCGCGGUAAU
rnacentral:rRNA from 1 species